CGGCAGCGCCUGUGCAAAGCCUAAUAUCGUCUUACUCAGCAAGUGACGACCUUCAACUUCCCCUCGACAUAUUCGUCAUGUUGGGACUUGGAUUGUUUUCGCCUGAGCAGAUUUACACAUUAAAUUAACAACGGUUUGCCACAAACAGCUCAUGGAGCCCUUCAUACGAUCGGUGCUCAGGAAGUAGUCCUCGGCCUCAAAAAGACGUACUCUUCUCCCUGAAGUCAUCCCGUAGCGAAUGGACCUGAGUGGAUAGCUGGUUCUCCACCUCUGCAGCCUGAACAUGCAGCAAGACAGAGUUGAUGUGGAGUGGGGGUGGGGGGAAAGAAUAAAACACAGAAACACACGGUAAACAUGUACCAUACCAGAUAAUGAUGUUGGGGAAAAUCAACAACAACAAAAAUUGCUCCACCUGACUGGAAUCUCAGCGACGCUGUUUAUAUUGUCAAUUCGUCCCUUUAAUUCUGUUCCCGUAAAUGGUACGACGACCGUUGCAACAAAAGUAAGGAUUUCCCAAAAUGUCAAGACUUUAUUCCAGAGGUACUCAGCAGGCCACACAAGACCUGACUGGGCUUAUUAGCAUAGAGCUGUAUUCAAGAAACUGCCAAUUAUGUGAUGAUCACUGGCAUCACUACCCACAGCGACAGCCUUAAAUCCAGUCACUGAUUUGACAGGUGCGUAUUCACCCACGUGCCAUCGCACUCGCAAAUCUGCACAGUCGAGCACGAAAAGUCACGCGUGUAAAAUUUGUUAUGAGUAGAAAUACAUAGAUAUUGAAAGACGUUGCUUUUUUUGUGCAGUCUUGACAUUAAUUUAUGUGUUUAUUUGAUAAUUGUUAACAAAACAAGCCUGCUCCUAAACAAUCAGUAUUCACCCGGAAACCGGAAAUGCAAGUUAACCAUACUGGUGCAUGUUCGGAAGUGAUGGCAAAAGCACAAGUUCCGAGCGCAUUUACAUUGAAAGUCAUCAACAUCAUGAGCCAUGUCAAAGGGAAUUCAGUUACACUGAAAACAUUUUUGGGAUAUAACACAGCUAAUGUUUCAGUAUCUAGACUAUAAUCAGUAUGAGAUUGUGAUUUACUUUGACUUGAGCUAAGUUCUAAUGUUAGACUAGUCUGUCCAUAUAACGAAAUGCGAACGGUCAUUUUCCCCUUGAAGUUGAAAACUUCUCCCCUCUAGAAGCUUUAGGAAGAUAUAGAUCAUCUACCGCUAGCUGUCAUCAAUGGAGUGACAAUAGAUACCGCCGUAAAUUAAGAUAGAUUAUAACAAUACAUCACGAUUGCCAACAGGAAUGUUUGUUACAACGUAUUGCUAGCUUCUUGCCACUAACGCCGAUAAUGUUGAAGUAAACUUUCAGCAUUUUCAAAACAUUGCGGGUAUAGACCGUUCGUGUUUAUUCCUUGACAGGCCAGUGCAUUAAGCAAUUUUCAUAUGAGUUCGUCAGAUCAAGAAUUUUUAUUGAUGAAAAAUUUUAAGUACCGUUUUACACCAUGUUCUACUAAUAUCAGUUGGCAUUGGAAAUGAUCAUUUCUGAGUUUGAAAUUUUCGUUUUCUAUUUUAGUUAUGCAUUUGUUUAUUUUAUUUUUAAUUUACAGUUAUGUUACAUUAAUCUAUUAACAAGAAUUUUUAAAAAUAUGUUUUUUCCCAAUUUAGUAAUAUACUGGUGUUUGUUAUUUUUUAAUUUUAAUUUGUCAUUAUAUUAAUCUGUUAAUAUGAAAAAUCCUCCGAGUCAUCGACAUCACAUCAGUAUCAUGUGUGACUUAUCUUUUUUAUUUAUUUUUCAAUUUAUAUAACUACAUACUUGGGUAUACAGUAACAACUAAGUUAUUUUAAGGUCUUCCGAUUCCCUAAUCACACCUGCAACUUUAUAUCUGUGAGCAUCACUGACCACACCCAUACAUUUUUCAAAUAUGAGUGACUGUGAAAACCAAUCACUUAUGAUACCUUACUGACAAAAAAAAUAAGAGCAACAAAAAAAGAAAAGAUCUCACUCUAUGGACAGCUAUAAUGAAUUCAUUAUUUUAGUUGACUUGGUCAGAAAAUAUUAAGGGAGACAUACUGUAAUGUAGAUUUUAAAAAUGAUUUAAAACAGUUGCCAGUACAACUGAGUGAUAACUUAUAUUGUAGAUAAGAUAUAAUACACUUAUUGUAACCUCUUAUUGUUUAUAUCAUUACAUCUACUUUUUUGCUACUUGGCUGCCCAUAAGGUAAAGCUUAUUAACAGCUACCCUCGAAGCCUGGACUUCCCAAAGGUGCCACCAAUCCCAACCAAGCAAAAGGCUAAGGAGACAUCAAAUGGACCUUAAGGCAAUUAGCAGAUUCUUGUCAAAUCUUGUAUCGUGGAACACGAAGUGAAAAGAACUGCAACUGGUGUAGUCCGUGCCAAUGGAAGAAGUCUUGUUUCAUGAAAACUGCAGAACUAUACAGUGUGUCUACUGGAUUAGAUUUGUUAACUUUUUCUGAAUACGAGAGAUUUUGAGAAUUGUGCUUUCAUUCUGACUCAAAUGUGAUUUUGCACAAUAAGCAAUACUGCCACCAAAGUUAAAUAAUUCUGUCUGUGAAAGAAACAACGUUGGGAAUGAUUUGAUGAUAUUUUAUGAUUUUAAACUUGCAAUAGCUCAAAGUGUAGAUUUGAGACAGCCAUGGAUGAGGUUUUCCCCUCCCAUAUGCUCCUCCAUUUUUGGAAAAGCCCUCAGCAUAUUUAAACGCUAACCCUUUUUUGUUCUUAUUUUUUCGCUCUUGCUAUUACUCAUAAAUUGUUUUCCGGUCCUUGCUGGUAGAAUACCAGCUUGGUGGUUGUGGGCCAACCCCAACCCUUUUUCUUUUGUUCGGGCUCGGUCACCACCAGAGCCUGGGAUGAAGAUAGACUUCCCAGCUGAUUUGUGGCGACAGACGAUCAGAGCAUGUAGGAACGUGGUCGCUUUUAAGUUGCGAGCGAGCCACAAAACAGUCACGAAAAGAAACAGUCAUAACUCUCCCAACAAGGUGGGAAAGCAACUUUUCCUCUGCCUGUCAUUGUUUUGUGUUAUUUUUUUUUCUUCACCAUUUUUCUUCCUGCUUCACCCAAAGCUGCCUCUGGGGUCCUGAGGUCCGGGGAAGACACUUCAUGUGUGGACGUAAAUCACACCAUGCAAUGCUUGCUAAAGGGAACAACCAGUGCCUAAUAAUGUGGGAAAAUUAGUAUCUUCUCACAAAGCCACAACAUUGUCCUCUCACACAGACUAAAUGCAUCCAUCUAUCCAUCCAUUCAUUAUCCAAGCCGUUCAUCCUCACAAGGGUCACAGGAAAGCUGGAGCCCAUCCCAGCUAGCUUCGGUCGAAAGGCGAACUACACCCUGAACUGGUCGCCAGUCAGUCACAGGGCACAUAUCGACACCAUCACUGAGCGGGAAUCGAUUCCACGCUGCCCACACCAAACUCAGACGUGUACCACUACACCAUCAGUGACUCUAGACGAAAUGCAUUAAACGCUAAUACACAUUCAUCCUAA